rnacentral:rRNA from 1 species
UACGAAGGGGGCUAGCGUUGUUCGGAAUUACUGGGCGUAAAGCGCGCGUAGGCGGACCUGCAAGUCGGGGGUGAAAUCCCGAGGCUCAACCUCGGAACUGCCUUCGAUACUGGCGACCUUCGAGUCCGGGAGAGGUGAGUGGAACUCCGAGUGUAGAGGUGAAAUUCGUAGAUAUUCGGAAGAACACCAGUGGCGAAGGCGGCUCACUGGCCCGGUACUGACGCUGAGAUACGAAAGCGUGGGGAGC